GGGAGAUGUGAAAAGAAGAUACUACGUGACAUUGCAGACGGAGAUGCUAAUUUUUUUGGCUCCCCCCCUCUCCCCCACCGUUAGGUUUAGAACCAAGGAAAAUGAAGUCACGCGUCAGAGUCUACUGCCCUCCUGCGAUGGAAAGCGAGCGAGAGCGUUGAGACUCUGAGCAUUGUUGAUGCCACUCAAACACCGUCGAUCUGGGAGCUGUGGAGACGCCGCUGUCCGUGAGAUAAGUGUCUGGUUUGGUGAGGGCUCUGCUCACGCCCAACCUGAGUCCAGGUUGGGAAGCCCACUAAGUUGGGGCUGGGUUUGUAUGAAAAGGUUCCUGACUAACCGUGGUUACGAGGGGGAAAAGGUCCCUAUUUUCAGAGGUUGCUCAUUUCUCUGGUCAGGAAUGGUGUCUCCUCUGCAGCGGAAGGUUGGAUUCAGAAGGAUGACUCCAGGUGGCUAUGUCUCGGGUGCCAUGGAGAAGUAGGAGGGGACGAAAAUCAUGCACGGCUGUGACUGUCGAUGUUAUCUCCGUCUCUGUUUGUCGAGUGUCGCCGAGCUGCGCUUCCAGAGGAAUUUUCCAGGAGCCCUAUCUCGAGAAGAAACUGGGAGAAGUGGACAUGAGCAGACUGGACAUCCCUGUAAGCAGACAUGAACAUCCUUGUCAGCAGACAUGAACAGUCCUCAAUUUUCUGGCUCCCGCAUA